GCUUUUAAAAUCUCACUACAGCAGCAUAUACUAAAAUUGGAACCAUCCAGAGAAGAUUAGCAUGGCCCCUGUGCAAGGAUGACAUGCAAAUUCGUGAAGUGUUCCAUAUUUAA
ensembl:snRNA U6 U6 spliceosomal RNA